GACGAACGCUGGCGGCGUGCCUAAUACAUGCAAGUAGAACUCAGUUGCGAACGGGUGAGUAACGCGUAGGUAACUGCCUCAUAGCGGGGGAUAACUAUUGGAAACGAUAGCUAAUACCGCCUACUGUGAGAUGGACCUGCGUUGUAUUAGCUAGUUGGUGAGGUAAAGGCUCACCAAGGCGACGAUCCAUAGCCGACCUGAGAGGGUGAACGGGCAAAAUGGGACUGGGGACCGGCCCCGACGCCUUCGGGAGGGAGCAGUAAGGGAUCUUCGGCAAAGGGAGGAAGUCUGACCGAGCAACGCCGGGGUAGUGGAGAAGGUUUUUGGGACGGAAAGCUCUGUUGUUAGAGAAACGGUAUCUAACCAGAAAGGGACGGCUAACUACGUGCCAGCAGCCGCGGUAAUAC
rnacentral:rRNA from 1 species